ACUGACGCUAAAGCUCGAAAAGUGCGGGUAUCGAACAGGAUUAGAUACCCUGGUAGUCCGCACGGUAAACGAUGGAUGCCCGCUGUUUGCGAUAUAUUGUAAGCGGCCAAGCGAAAAGCGUUUAAGCAUCCCACCUGGGGAGUACGCCGGCAACGGUGAAACUCAAAGGAAUUGACGGGGGCCCGCACAAGCGGAGGAACAUGUGGUUUAAUUCGAUGAUACGCGAGGAACCUUACCCGGGCUUGAACUGCAGGAGAACGAUACAGAGAUGUUGAGGUCCUUCGGGACUCCUGUGGAGGUGCUGCAUGGUUGUCGUCAGCUCGUGCCGUGAGGUGUCGGCUUAAGUGCCAUAACGAGCGCAACCCCUUUCUUCAGUUGCCAUCAGGUAGAGCUGGGCGCUCUGGAGACACUGCCACCGUAAGGUGUGAGGAAGGUGGGGAUGACGUCAAAUCAGCACGGCCCUUACGUCCGGGGCUACACACGUGUUACAAUGGGUGAUACAGAGAGUUGGGUGCCGGCAACGUCGCUCUAAUCUUGAAAGUCAUCCUCAGUUCGGAUUGGGGUCUGCAACCCGACCCCAUGAAGCUGGAUUCGCUAGUA
rnacentral:rRNA from 1 species